rnacentral:misc_RNA from 1 species
AAAGUCGUAACAAGGUCUCCGUAGGUGAACCUGCGGAGGGAUCAUUACACAAAUAUGAAGCCAGACUGGGAUUGGGGCCUUGUUGCCACACCCGUCUGGCGCCAUAUUCACCCAUGUCUUUUUGCGUACUACUUGUUUCCUUGGCGGGUCCGCCCGCCAAUUGGACAUUAUUUAAACCCUUUUUCUUGCAAUUGCAAUCAGCGUCAGCAAAACAAAUGUAAUCAAUUACAACUUUCAACAACGGAUCUCUUGGUUCUG